UAGAUGGAGCUUGCUCUAUGUACCUUAGCAGCGAACGGGUGAGUAACACGUAGAUAAUCUGUCCUAUAUUGGGGGAUAGCCCGAUGAAAGUUGGAUUAAUACCGCAUACAGCUAUAUAGUUGCAUGAUUAUAUAGUGAAAGAUUUAUUGAUAUAGGAGGAGUCUGCGGCACAUUAGCUAGUAGGUGAGGUAAGAGCUUACCUAGGCGACGAUGUGUAGCCGGUCUGAGAGGAUGAACGGCCACAAUGGAACUGAGACACGGUCCAUACUCCUACGGGAGGCAGCAGUGGGGAAUAUUGCGCAAUGGGGGAAACCCUGAUGCAGCAACGCCGCGUGAGUGAAGAAGGUUUUCGGAUUGUAAAGCUCUGUUAGCAGGGAAGAGGAAGGACGGUACCUGCAGAGGAAGCCACGGCUAACUACGUGCCAGCAGCCGCGGUAAUACGUAGGUGGCAAGCGUUGCUCGGAAUAACUGGGCGUGAAGGAUGCGUAGGCGGUUAAAUAAGUUAUAUGUUAAAUAUAUAGGCUUAACCUGUAGGAAGCAUAUAAAACUGUUUAACUAGAGUGCAGGAGAGGUAAGUGGAAUUCCUAGUGUAGCGGUGAAAUGCGUAGAGAUUAGGAAGAACACCAGUGGCGAAGGCGACUUACUGGAC
rnacentral:rRNA from 1 species